rnacentral:lncRNA from 1 species
UGGGGCCUCAAAAAGGAUACUCAAAUCUCUUGAAGACUGGAGCUAUGCAGGCAAAUCUCUGCGCUGCUUUAAUGUUUUUUGCUCACAAGAAAAGCCUUGUCCUCCAGCAGUACAGCUGAGCGCACCGCCGGGCUCAGGGCGCUGCGGGGCGCCCGCCCCCCGAGGCACAGCAGCAGCAGCCGCCGGGGCGCUCCGCCCGGCCGCCGGCCACCACCACCCGCCGCGGCUCCCCCCGCAUGCUGCCGGCCGCACGCACAAAGCGCAGGGCGCGGGCGGCCGCGGGGGCGGGCGGCACCCCGGCUCCCGCCGGAUGGCAGCGACGCUGGAGGGGAGGGGAGAAGAGGCGAGGCGGGCGCCUCCGCACCGCGCCACCCCCCUCAACCACCCGCGGGAGCCGCCCCUCGCCAAAGGACGGCCCCCCCAGCAUCCCCUCCCCGCCCGUCCGCCGUUACCUCUCGGCCGAGGCCGGCAUGCCGGCGCUGCCCCGACUCAUUGUUCGGGGAGGGGCGGCACCGGCGGGAGGGGCGGGCGCUACGGAGAGGGGCAGCCCGGCUCCCCCCAGCGUGGGCCGCGUGGGUCGGUUCCCCGUGUCCCGCCGGGGGGAUGCGUGGGGAUGGGGGCGGCGGUCGUCACGGGGCUCCGGAGCCUGGAGGAAAGUUGGAGGCGCGGUGAUGUGCCCCAGCGGACCGGAGAGAGCGGCUCCGGCACCCGUGCGGUGUGGGAGAACCGCAGACGGCUUUGGCUCUUGAAGAUUAGGCUGCGUUAAUUAAGGAAAUAUUUUAAGCCGAAAGGUCUCUUGAGAAGAAGCGCGUUAAGCCGCUCGUAAAAGCGGGGAGGAACGCAAGGCGAGGCAGCGCCGUUCGAGCGGCGAGCACAAAGGAGGCGAGAGCGCAAGUGGGUGUUACAGGAGCUCCGGUGAGCGCUGCUCGCACCGCUGUACCCGACGCCGAUCGCCCCGCUGUGCUCGCAGUGCUUCCGGCCACAGAACGGGUACCGUUGGCAGUGCAAUUGUUGCGAUCCUUCCUCGCCUUGCUGAGCGCUUAAUAACACCUCGCAGCGUAUUUUACUGCCUUUGUUCGGAUCGAAUAGCGUUUUACUUUGCGAAUAGCCUAAGUAAGUUUUCACGUACAGAUAACUGCACCGCUUAGGUAACGUUCAUCGCGCCGGAUCUGUGCUUUAAGUGUGGGGAAAGGCAUCCGGGACCGAAGCUUGACUGUGCCCACAUUUAGGAAGCAUAAGAUGAUGAGAACAACGCGCCUGCAAAAGGCAUGCCUGCAAAGUGAGGAAACAAGCGUGGAGAGCAACGCAAAUAGUAGCAAAGCCAAAGCAGUGCAGUCGGCUGAACUGAGAUGCGGCUUUGGAAAUAGAAGGGGAGAAAUGGAUGUGAAAGGAAAGCACCAUCAGGAACGGGUUAACGUUCCGAAAGAUGAGUGUCGAGCUAACCCUCCGUGCCAAAAGCAGAUGACUGUAAAGCCCGGAGUUCAUCCACUUAUUUAUAUCACUUAACUGAGAAGUUUCAUGAGUUGCAGCACAAUUAAUGAAUAAAAAUAACAUAUAUAUAUAUAUAUUUUCCUCUCAGCCUCAGACGUUGGGAAAACAGGUUUCAAACCUGGAGCUAAUUGCUGCAAAAAUAGAAAAAUCAGCUUUCAUGGGAUCAUACUGAGUUGGAAGGGAGCCUUCGGGGCCAUUUAAUCUAACUCCCGUGCAAUGAACAGAGACACCUACAGCUCCAUCAGGUUGCUCAGAGCCCCAUCCAGCCUGACCUUGAGUGCCUCCAGGGAUGGGGCAUCAUCGGUGUGAUGAAUGCCAUGAUGCAACCGGGCUGUUUGUCUCACACACAUGACAUAAAGGCAACAAAAAAUGCUGUUGAUAGGGACUGCAGUGUAGGAUACACAUAUAUUGGCUCUGCUGACACCCCGCUUCUUGAGGGAUAUUCCGGUGUACUUCCAUCAAAAACUCUGAAUUUAUUCAUCCAUCUAUAAAAUGAUGUGCUGGCUCACACAAUGAACCACAAGCACAUGUUUGAAGAAACAAAGGAAAAGGUGGAUACAGCUCUCUCAAGUUUUUAAUUAAUUUAAUUAAUUUUAAAGUAGGAUUUAAUUUAAUUGAUUUUUAAAGUUUAAUUCUGUAGAGCUCUCCAGAAUCUCCCAUCUGUCACUAUUGAAAAACAUGCAGUUCUUCAGUGGGCUUAUUUUUAAUAUAGGUGAAAUAGGAUUUCAAUCUGGAGUAGAAUGUAAAUGAACAGCAUAAAUUAAGUGGACGGUACAGGAAAGCUCUAAGAUAUUCUGCAUGGGAGACUGAGGUGGUUUAAAUGCUGUAUCAGGAGAGCUCGUCACCCAGAGACUCUCCUCCUUUUCAGCAGUUCCAGAAUGAGUUCUUGGCUUGGUGGCAGAUAAUGCCGGUUGAGCACAAUUUUUAUUGACUGCAGUGGGAGCUGUACCUACACAUCUAAAUGUAAAAAUUAUCUACAGGAGGCAGGUGGAGUUAGUCUGCAAUCUGCUACGGUUUGCUUAUGCCUUUGACAUUUUGCUUUUGGCUUAGGCUUUUGGAUGGAAGAGCUCUGCAUCCUGCAUUUCUCACCUUUGGCCUGAUUCUGUCUUCCAGUACAACGGUGUAAUUAAGAACAUCUUCCCUGGAAAUCAGGAAAGGAAUUGGGAUAAGGUCUGCGAGAUCAGCAUCAGGCCCUGCUGAUGCUAAAGCAGCCUGCGGGAAGGUCUGAGAUCAAAGUGAUUGCAGGAGAGUCAGGAUGGUAAAGAAUUCAUUCUCACGUGUUCACGGGUUGAAGAAUUUGUCUUUGGUAUAAAUGGAUAACAAUAGGGUAGAGUUACACACAGAUGCUGCUUCUUUGUUAUUGAGUUUAACUACUGCUAUAGGUGCAUCUAUCACUUUGUUUUGUUACAGUGUUAGAGCACUGCAUAUAAAUAAAGGGGAUAAAUAACCUGAUUUACUAUGGCUAAGAGUCACAGUAUAUUAAAAAUUGUGACACAGAGAAAGCUUUCGCUUCUCUUGGAAAAAAGUUUUACAACGGAUCUUUGCAGUCAUCAUUUAAACUGGCAGGGUACAGUGCACAAAGAUCCUUAAAGACCUGGCACAAACUCAUUCAGCCCUUUCAAAGCAUGUCCAUGGCCACUACAGCUCCAUCGAAAUAGAAGGGAAAUUUUCUCUCGACUUUAUCAAAUUUUACCUGAAUAAUUGUGAUUUUGUUUUAGUGUUAUGCUGUUCUGAACAAAAUUGGGGCUAGUAAGGUUGCUGCAGUGAGCAGGAGCCUCCCAACUACACUUCACCUGCUUCUUCUUGUUCCUUGUUCAUACAAUCAUGGACUCAUUAAGGUUGGAGAGACCAUUAAGAUUAUCUAGUCCAGCUGUCAACCCAUCUCCACACUGCCCAUUAAUCCAUGUCCCUCAGUGCCACAUCCACAUGUUUCUUGAACACCUGCAGGGUCAGCUACUGGGCAACCUGUUCCAGUGCAUCACCACUCUUGUGGAGAAUAAAUGUUUCCUAAUAUCCAACAGGAUCCUCUCCUGAUGCAACUUGAGUCCAUUCCCUCUCAUCCUAUCGCUGUUACCUGGGAGAAGAGGCUGACCCCCGCUUCACAACAACCUCCUUUCUGUGGCUGUAGAGAGCAAUAAGGUCUCCCCUGGGCAUCUGGACUCCAGACUGAGCAACCCCAGCUCCCUCAGCCACUCCCCAUAAGACUUGUGCUUCAGUGCCUUCACAGCUUAAUUGCCCUUCUCUGCACAUACUCCCAGGCCUUGAUGUCCUUCUUGUACUGAGGGGCCCAAAACUGAACACAGUUCUUGAGGUGUGGCUUCACCAGUGCUGAGUACAGAGAGAUGAUAACCUCCCUUCUGCUGCUGGCUGCACUAUUUCUGAUAGAAGCCAGGAUGCCAUUGGCCUGCUUGGCCACCUGGGCACACUGCUGGCUCACAUUCAGCCAGCUGUCAGCCUGAGAGGAUGUGUGUGGUGGUUUACUGCUCUCUUUCUGCAAACCCUGAAAUCCCUGUUUGAGCAGGGAAGGAAGACGCAUACCACAGCCUCAUCCCUUCAGCAUCCCUGGAGGCGGCGAGCCUGGAUCAUUGAGCUGCACUGACGGGCCCUGCUCCUCUGACUAGGCCUCUCCUAAGGGACUCACAGUCCAUCAUUAGUGUUGAUCAUCAAGUAGAUUUUCAGUAAGCUACAAGUACUGGUGUUGGCUUCUGUGCAUUUCAGACACAUUUUGAUGUUGCAGUGUCAGACACGGAUGUGGAUUUGGGAAUGGAGCCCACUGAGCUCUAUUAGCAGGUGCCCUUGAAGAGAGGGCGUGGUUUCUUUUCCUUGUGCGGGCUCAUGACAGAUGACUGGUAGAAUUGCCUUCACUCAAAAGAAAGCUGUUUUGUUGCCCUUCAGAAGCAUCCUGAUGGGCUCAGUGGUAAGAUGACUUGUGAAGAGCUUGGAGAACAUGCCCUACAAGGAGCCACUGAAGGAACUGGGGCUGUUUAGUCUAGGGAAGAGGAGGCUGAGGGGAGACCUUAUUGCUCUCUUCCAAUAUCUGAAAGGUGCUUACAGAGAAAGCAGGAUUGGUCUCUUCUCACUGGUGACAGGUGACAGGAUGAAGGGAAAUGGCCUCAAGUUGGGCCAGGGUAAGUUUAGGUUGGAUAUCAGGAAAAACUUCUUUAGACAAAGAGUUGUCAAGCACUGGAAUAGGCUCUGCAGGCAGGUGGUUGAAUCAGCAUCCCUGGAUGUGUUUAAGAACUGUUUGGAUGUGGUGCUCAGGGUCAUGAUUUAGCAGAGGGUUGAUAGAGUUAGGGUAGUAUGGUUAGGUUGUUCUUGGACUCGAUGAUCUUGAAGGUCUCUUCCAACCUGAGCAAUUCUAUGAUUCUAUGAUUCAGUGGGGCUCUUGGUGUUUCCUGCACGCUGAAGGGCUCUGGCACCCAUAAGGGCUCCAUCUUUGUGCACAGAACAGAUGUGAGAAAAGAAGGGGAAUGUUCUUGCCAGCAUGACAUGGGGCAUCUCUGAGGGAAAUAUGUGUCCUCUGAGGGGACUGUGUGUCCUCUCACAUGUGUCUGGAAGGCUGGCACAGACACAGGCUGGUGCUUGUUCUCUCUGAGCAAGGUGUAGUAGGAAAUGCAAUGGGAGUGGUUUCGGAGCUGCCACCAAGUGAAGCUGAGCCAACUCUGAAGCUGCCCUGAAAUUUGAAGAUAAGAGGGAUAUUUCUUCUUUCUGGUUUUCUCUGCUCUUGAGGAAAAAGUGCUAACUUACUCCUGGACUCACCAGUGUUAAUAAAAGACUCCUGUCCUUCAGUGCUGGCUCAGAUGUAGGAGAGGGUAAGCAAAUCAUGGACUAUUCUUUGCUUUACUCCCCCUAGUAUUUGCCUUAGGAAAGAAUCAUGAACUCCCUUGUUCACAGCAUGGGCUUUCAAUCAGACAAGGGUCACCUGUCCAUUUGUUUACCCCCUUGCACAGUCUGAUAGGUUGAGCUACAGCCCACUUCUGUGUCUUCUCUCUUUCAAGGAGCCAGAUUUGUAAGAAAUGCUAAAAAGCUGAAAUAAAAAGAUAAAUUUGCCAGAGCUAUCUUCAGCUUGUGUUUUCUUCCAGUUUUCCUACUAUUUCAGAUGUCAACCCCAAGCUUUGUAAAAGGUUAAAUUCAGUUGUGUUCUGUUAGUAAGAGAGUGGGGGUUUCAAUGUGAGCAGGGCUGGAAGCCUUCUUUCCCCUCUGGUGUCCCACCCUGCCAAGCCCAGAUGAGAUCCUUCAGGUAAAGCCACAAACAUAAAGCUCCAUCCAUCCCAUUAACAAGGUAGCAAAGCCUUCAUGAGCAAAAGACCAUAGCAUCCCAAGGAUGCAUGCAGUAAAACAUUCAUAAAGUCUGUUUGCUUUGAUCAACUCAGACAAUGAACUCAUCCUCAUCUCUGCUGAAGUCCUGUAAGCUUGUUUGUUUACCUCCAUUACUAUCUGUAGGAGUGUGCCUUGAUUCUUUAUUGCUUUCAAUAGAAGCUGAGGUUGCUAAAGUAACUUGUAGCCUUUAGAAAAAUCUUAUUAAAAAUCAGUCACUGCAAAACUUUACUGGGUAUUCCGGAUAUGUACAUAAAUGCCUAGAGAUAAAUGAGUUUUGAAGCAAAUUUUGUACACAGAAUUGUUCAGAAUUAAUCUCGGGCUGUACUGUGCAAGACUGUGAUUUAUGGAAGCACUACUGACAAGCUGCAGUGGGCUGGCUCUUCAGUUGAAAAGGUUAACUGAAAUGAACAUGUUUAUAUGGAACAGGUUUUCAAGGGGAAAAAAAAAGUGCCACAUCUGCAGAAUCAUCAAGAAAGGAGAAAGUAGGGAAAAAAUGGUUUUGAAAUGACAGCCUCUCAAAGUACAGUGGGGUACUGCCUUCCAAAGAAGAAAUACAUAUUUAGAGGGCUGGCGUUAUGGCAGUAAGGCAAAUAAAUAUUCAUUCCUUGACUCUCUUGCAGGCUCACUGCCCUUUCUCCAGGCUGCAUGCUCAGAGGCAACCUGACCUCUGCAGAGGCAGGGCUGGGGGUCACCAUUUCGGGCUAUGCAUCAGACCACGGUGCAGCAAGUUGUACACCUCCUCAGAAGUGAAGCAGUCUCAUGUUUUGCCAUCAAGCCUAUUCUCGUCUCCACAACCAGCCUCUGGGUAGCAGAUUACUGGUUUAUCUAACAUAACUGGAAGGACCAAAAAAAUGUGCCAUUUGAUUGGAAAGCUCUCAACAGUUCAUCCUCAGUGCCUGCUGCUACUCCCAGCGUCCCCCCUCACGUCAUUUGGCCACUAACCAUGGGCACUUGCAUUUCAAGGGCAGCACGAAAAGUUCCAACAGGCAGAGGCAUGUCUCUCGAAUCAGCAACAAAGUGAAGGAGGAAUUCAUAGCCCGAAGUGUGAUAGCACUUUUUCAGAAGCCACAGACACAGUUUUCACCUGGUUAGAAACUGAAGAAAGUUAGUUUUCUGUUAGGAGCUGCUUUAUACUUUGGAAAUGGGUCAGCUCUUUCUUGUUAAUUUGAAAUGCAAGGGAGCUUUCCCAGGAGUAGCUUGGUUGCUGGUUAUUCACGGCUGCAGAGCUGGUUAUUGCUAGUAUACUGUUUCAUGUAACUUUGUAGCUGGACUGGGAAAUGCUGCCUUCCUUUCUGCUGUACACAGCCUUAAAAAAAAACAACACAAGACUUGCUCUCCUAGGCAGGAGAGUGCAGAUAGAUUAGCAUAGCAAAACAGUUCUCAUCAUGCAUACUUUCCAAAUGCUAUAAGACAAAUAAAGAAAUAUGAACGGUGCCGUGGUUUAAUGGCUAUUUGCAUACAUCCAGACUAUGUAUCAUGUUCUGUGUAUGCAAAUACAUUUUUUCAAUUAAAGUUCUUGUUUUGUAGCCAAUUACUGCCACAAAAAGAGUCAGCAAUUUUUAUCCUCCAUUGUAAAACGGAAGGGUUGGCAAAGCCCAUUGGUAUAUCUUGCUUUGGUACUUUGAGAUUCGAACUUUACAGUGCAAACAUUACAUGCUUUGUUUAAAUAAUAGAAGCAGGAGUUCUGACAUUAAUCUGGGAAAAUAACCUUUAGCGUGCUUUGUGUUCCCCACCUUUUUGGCAGCACAGAAGAUACCAUACAACUUCAUUCUCCUUUCACUCAAACAUGUUGUAGGUACAUCUGCGAAUGUUAAAUAUGUUGCAGAAACUGCUUUAAUAGAAGCUAUUACGUGCAAAAUGGGAAAGUAAAUAGAAACAUACAAGAAAAACUGUGUUUUGAAAUGGUGUCACUUUUCUGCAAGGAAUGGGCUUUGGAAAGACAACUUUAAUUAAAGCCUUUAUUUUCCAGCACAUUUCACAGUUUAAAAAUAGUAAACAGUGUAAGUAGUAUCACCCACUUGGUGAUAAAAUUUACUCUUUCCCUGGAAAAAAAAGAGAGGAGAGGAGAG